UACAGAGGUCUCAAGCGUUGUUCGGAUUUAUUGGGCGUAAAGGGUGCGUAGGUGGUGGGGUAAGUUGGAUGUGAAACGCCUCGGCUCAACCAAGGCACUGCAUUCAAUACUGCUCCGCUUGAGCACUAGCGAGGAGGCUGGAAUUUACGGUGUAGCAGUGAAAUGCGUAGAUAUCGUAAGGAACACCAGUGGCGAAAGCGAGCCUCUAGAUAGUAUGCUGACACUGAGGCACGAAAGCCAGGGGAGCAAACGGG
rnacentral:rRNA from 1 species